GCGGGGAUAGCUCAGUUGCGAGAGCGUUAGACUGAAGAUCACGUGUUCGAUCCGUUCACCGCA
rnacentral:tRNA from 1 species